rnacentral:rRNA from 1 species
GAUGAACGCUGGCGGCGUGCUUAACACAUGCAAGUCGAACGAUGAAGCCCAGCUUGCUGGGUGGAUUAGUGGCGAACGGGUGAGUAACACGUGAGUAACCUGCCCUUGACUCUGGGAUAAGCCUGGGAAACUGGGUCUAAUACCGGAUAGGAACGUCCACCGCAUGGUGGGUGUUGGAAAGAUUUAUCGGUCAUGGAUGGACUCGCGGCCUAUCAGCUUGUUGGUGAGGUAAUGGCUCACCAAGGCGACGACGGGUAGCCGGCCUGAGAGGGUGACCGGCCCCCAGGGGGACGAAGACCGGGCCCGGUCCCCGCGGGGGGGAGGGGGGGGGAAUUAUGGAAAAGGGGGCGAGGGCCUGAGGCAGCGACGCGGGGGGAGGGAGGAGGGCUUUGGGGUUAAAAACCUUUUCCAGUAGGGAAGAAGAGAAAGGGAGGGUACCGAAAAAAGAAGCACGGGCAAGCUACGUG